UUUGGUGGCGAUAGCGAAGAGGUCACACCCGUUCCCAUACCGAACACGGAAGUUAAGCUCUUCAGCGCCGAUGGUAGUCGGGGGUUUCCCCCUGUGAGAGUAGGACGCCGCCAAGC
rnacentral:rRNA from 10 species